GUACUGAUGAAGAGUCCCAAACUGAGACGAAACAGCUGUCCAGUAC
rfam:Trichobilharzia regenti genome assembly, scaffold: TRE_scaffold0057631